UGCCAGCAGCCGCGGUAAUACGAAGGGUGCUAGCGUUGUUCGGAAUUACUGGGCGUAAAGAGCAUGUAGGCGGCUUUGUAAGUCGGAUGUGAAAGCCCUGGGCUCAACCUGGGAAUUGCAUUCGAUACUGCAGAGCUAGAGUAUGGUAGAGGGAAGUGGAAUUUCCGGUGUAGCGGUGAAAUGCGUAGAUAUCGGAAGGAACAUCAGUGGCGAAGGCGGCUUCCUGGACUGAUAUUGACGCUGAGGUGCGAAAGCGUGGGGAGCAAACAGGAUUAGAUA
rnacentral:rRNA from 1 species